rnacentral:tRNA from 3 species
UAAGUAAUUAACUUAGAGGUAAAGUUUCUGCUUUACAUACAGAAGAUCAUUGGUUCGAUUCCAAUAUUACUUAA